GACGAACGCUGGCGGCGUGCUUAACACAUGCAAGUCGAACGGAAAGGCCCUGCUUUUGUGGGGUGCUCGAGUGGCGAACGGGUGAGUAACACGUGAGUAACCUGCCCUUGACUUUGGGAUAACUUCAGGAAACUGGGGCUAAUACCGGAUAGGAUCUCCUGCUGCAUGGUGGGGGUUGGAAAGUUUCGGCGGUUGGGGAUGGACUCGCGGCUUAUCAGCUUGUUGGUGGGGUAGUGGCUUACCAAGGCUUUGACGGGUAGCCGGCCUGAGAGGGUGACCGGCCACAUUGGGACUGCGAUACGGCCCAGACUCCUACCGGAGGCAGCAGUGGGGAAUAUUGCACAAUGGGCGGAAGCCUGAUGCAGCAACGCCGCGUGCGGGAUGACGGCCUUCGGGUUGUAAACCGCUUUCGCCUGUGACGAAGCGUGAGUGACGGUAAUGGGUAAAGAAGCACCGGCUAACUACGUG
rnacentral:rRNA from 1 species